rnacentral:tRNA from 1 species
ACUUGGCUGGCUCAGUCAGAAGAGCAUGAGACUCUUGAUCUCAAGGUCAUGAGUUUCAGCCCCAGCUGAGUG